rnacentral:rRNA from 1 species
UGAGGAAUAUUGGGCAAUGCCCGCAAGGGUGACCCAGCAACGCCGCGUGGAGGAUGAAUGUCGUAAGAUUGUAAACUCCUGUUAGAGGGGAAGAAUAGUACCGGUUGGACCGGUAUAUGACUGUACCCUCAGAGAAAGCCCCGGCUAACUACGUGCCAGCAGCCGCGGUAAUACGUAGGGGGCAAGCGUUGCCCGGAUUUACUGGGUGUAAAGGGCGCGCAGGCGGGAUAAAAAGUCAGUGGUGAAAUCCUACAGCUUAACUGUAGAACUGCCUUUGAUACUUUUAUUCUUGAGUUCGGGAGAGAGAGACGGAAUUCCAGGUGUAGUGGUGAAAUACGUAGAUAUCUGGAAGAACACCAGUUGCGAAGGCGGUCUCUUGGUCCGACACUGACGCUGAGGCGCGAAAGCGUGGGGAGCAAACA